CCCUGGUUAGCUCAGUCGGUAGAGCGCUCCACCUGUAAUGGAGAGGUCCCGGGAUCGAUACCCGGACCAGGCG
rfam:Ixodes scapularis strain Wikel colony gcontig_1107728667146, whole genome shotgun sequence.